CCCUGAGGGACGCAGCGCAGGUUUAGGUCACCAGCUCAGCAGCCCUCCAAGCUCCCGGUUGAGCACUGAGGCUCCAGAAUGCGGCGGCCGCCCCUCCAUCCUGAGAGGCAGAGCCUAGGAGACUCGGCCUUCCUGGGAAGCCGCGCCCCACCUCACGAAGGCCCAGGGAUGCGCUCGGCAGGGGCCGCACCCGGAUCCUGUUCCUCCACCUGCGACUCGGCUCUGCCCCCGGCCCCUCCUGGCUCGGCCCAUGCUGCCAUCUCGGGGGCCUCCGAGGCGAGCUGCCUGGCUUUGGCUCCUGGGCCCCGGCCCUCCCACCCCUGCCCUCCCCGUGGGCCCGCCUCUCGGGGCCCUUCCUGCCUCUUCUCCCGGCACAGCAGCAGCUGCCGAGCAUCUCAGAGCCCGACACCCUGCUCCCGGGGCCAGGGUGCUCCCCGGGGCCCCAGCAGGCUCCAGGGCUCCCCCUGACGGCCAGGCUGGGACAAGGCGAGGGGGAGAGGCUUCCGGGGCCACCGCUCAGGCCCGGGGAGCUGGAGGUAAAGCCUGACCCCCCUGGCGGGGGCUAAGGGCUGUCUGAACCCCAGGGAGGGCUUCUCCCCAGAGACCUACAGACCGGAGCUCCGGGAAGAGAGCCCCGCGCCCCCCAGCCUGGAGCCCCUCAAAGCGGCGUGGCCCUCGCAUCCUCCCUAACUGGCGCAGAAGAUGGAGGGGUCUCCAAACUCCACCCUCCCUUGCCCACCUCUUCUCCGGUUUUGUGCCUCUUGGUGGCUGGACGCAAGCUGAGACUCGGAGGAUUUGAAGAGGUGACUUGCACCGCUACAGAAAGGCACAAAUGUGGGGGUGGGGGAAACUGAGGCCAGGCCCCUCCUCUCCCACCGAACUGCUCGUCAGACUACGAAGCCUUGGUCUCCAUUUUCUGAGAGAGAGAGAGAGAGAGAGAGAGAGAGAGAGAGAGAGAGAGAGAGAGAGAGAGAGAAUGAAUAGGGUUUUCAUCACUCGAACCAUCCAUCCCAUAACCUACCCAGGUGAGGGAGGAAUCAAGGGCCUCGAUGGGGAGGGGCCCGGGGCGCCCCUAGCAACGCCCUUCUUCUCUGGGCUCCUUUCACUGUCUAAGUUACGGUCUCCCACCCUGAGCCACGCUCCAAGCCCUUUCUUCUUCCCCUCUGACGCUCCAGUCCCCUUCAGGAGCUUCCUUCUACCUCCUUUGCCCCAGGGAUGUGGGAGGAAGGGGCUGCUUCCUGCCUCUGUAAUAUUCCCCGCUGGCCAGGAAUAAAAUCCCCUCGGCAGACAGUCCUCUCGGCUGCUGACAGCCUCCCUUCCUCCUGCCAGUGGGUCCCGACCGCCCACCGACUGCCGGGAGCUCCUGCUUCUAGUCCCAGACAGAACUGAGCUCCACCCACGAGUACCGGAAGGGGUUGAGGGCUCCAGGGAGGGCCUGGGCUAGGACUGAAACAGCCUGUCUCCGCCCUGCCAUCUCUUUGAGAGCGAUAAGGGCUAACGCCCUGGCCCCAGGAGCUCGGAGAGGGAGGGAAACCAGCCUGGGGAACUUCAGAAGAGCAGGGGGUCUUUGGGAGCCCCCGGGCCCCUGCUGAGGACUGCUGAGCAGUUCUGAGGGCUGGGGAGAGUAAGGAGGUCACCAGACACCCAGGCCCUAAGAGUAAUAAGCUGAGCAGACCUGAGGUGGCAGGUGGUUUGGGGAGUGGGGACACGUGAGAGAGAGGUUAUUGCUCAACCAAGGACGUGCAGGCAGCCAGGGAC
ensembl:lncRNA